GCUGGCUAUGGUGGCAUGUACCUGGUAUCCCAGCUACUCAGGAGGCUGAGGCAGGAGGAUCACUUGAGCCCAGGAGUUAGAGACCAGCCUGGGCAACAUAGCUGUCUUUU
rnacentral:sRNA from 1 species